rnacentral:misc_RNA from 1 species
UCCGGCUUAACGCCGGCAGUCUCUCUAGAGUGCCCAACUGAAUGGUGGCAACUAAAGACGAGGGUUGCGCUCGUUGCGGGACUUAACCCAACACCUCACGGCACGAGCUGACGACAGCCAUGCAGCACCUGAACCGGCAGUCCCCGAAGGGAAGAUCCUAUCUCUAGGAUGGUCCGCCGUUGUCUAGCCCAGGUAAGGUUCUUCGCGUUGCGUCGAAUUGAACCACAUGCUCCACCGCUUGUGCGGGCCCCCGUCAAUUCCUUUGAGUUUCAGUCUUGCGACCGUACUCCCCAGGCGGCGAACUUAACGCGUUAGCUUCGACACUGAUCUCCGAGUUGAGACCAACAUCCAGUUCGCAUCGUUUAGGGCGUGGACUAC